rnacentral:rRNA from 1 species
GGGGUGUCAGUGCGUGUAAGUUGUAUGAAAAUACACACCGUGGAGGGUGAGAGUCCCGUCCAGCGCGCACAGGACACUCCGUACGAGACUACCCUAGCGAGUCGGGUAGCUUGGGAAUGCUGCUCUAAUCGGUGGUAAAUCUCAUCGAAGGCUAAAUAUUGACCAGAGACCGAUAGUGAACAAGUACCGUGAGGGAAAGGUGACAAGCACUUUGAAAAGAGGGUGAAAAGAGCCUGAAACCGUCAUGGGGGAAGCGAGUGGUGUUGCAUUGAAGGGCCGUUGUGUGUUCAGCCCGAAAGGGUGUAUUGGCAUGGCGGCUUACCUGUCGUGGGUUCUGGGCCGUGGAUUUUGCACGGCUCGGGGCUGAGGGCUCCCAAUUUGGUGAGGACGACCGGGCGUUGACACGAUUCGACCCGUCUUGAAACACGGACCAAGGAGUCUAGCGCGGCUGCGAGUCGAAGGGUGCAAGCCUGAAGGCAAAGUGAACGCGAGUGUAAAACGAGCAGUUUGGGGCGGCAUGGGAUCGUUGAUUCCAAGUCUGACCUUGAGCAGUUGCGCUGGGACCCGAAAGAUGGUGAACUAUGCCGGAGUAGGGCAAAGCCAGAGGAAACUCUGGUGGAGGCUCGUAGCGGUGCUGACGUGCAAAUCGCUCGUCGAACUUGGGUAUAGGGGCGAAAGACUAAUCGAACCAUCUAGUAGCUGGUUCCCUCCGAAGUUUCUCUCAGGAUAGCGGGCCGACGGUGUUGUUUUGUGCGGUAAAGCGAAUGAUUAGCGCACUCGGGGGCAGUUUGCCUUCGGGCGAUUCUCAAACUUUCAAUGCGCAAGGGUGCCGCUGCUUUGGUGAGCGGUACCGGCAAAAACGUCGGCCCUGUGGGCCACUUUUGGUAAGCAGAACUGGCGAUACGGGAUGAACCGUAAGCGUGGUUAAGGCGCCUAACUGCCCGCUUAG